GUUGAUGAACGUGAUCUUGGUCGUCGGUCAAAGACUGAGUUUCGGCUGUGGAUGCUUCGAAUUAGUUGCGAUCCACUAGUUCGACGCGAUUUGAUGCGUUUUUCUUCGGACGUGAAGCUUCACGCAAGGAACUAGACAUUCCAUCUUAAAAUGGAGUUGCAAAAAGAAAAAACAGACAUCUACUUGAAACAGCUCGGGCCUUGUCCUUUCAAAUGCAUGUUCCAAAGCCUUUUUGGGCUGAUGUGGUUUCCACCGCUUGCUUCCUGAUUAAUAGACUGUCUUCCUCUGUUCUCAAUGGAGAGAUUCCUCAUCGUGUUCUCUUUUCUAUGAAAGAUUUGUUUUCUAUUGCCCCUAAAAUCUUUGGUUGUGUUUGUUUUGCUCGGGAUGUUCAUCCUCAUUGUACCAAGUUAGAUCUCAAAUCUUUGAAAUGCAUUUUCUUAGGCUAUUCGCAUGUUCAAAAGGGUUAUCGUUGUUUUUGCCCUACUCUUAACAGGUGUCUUGUCUCUCCUGAUGUUACGUUUUUUUAGGACAUACCUUUUAGUCCCUCACCAUCAAGUCAUUGUCAAUGUAGGAUGAUGAUCUUUUUAUCUAUGAGAUUACCUCUCCCACAUCAUCUCCUACUCCGUCUUCUUCUAUAUCUCCUUCUCGUCCACUCAUCACUCGAGUCUACUAUAGGAAACCUCCACAACAACCUUCAGACACAUGUCCUACACCAAUGGCUUUUUCGACAUCUGAUCCAGAACCGAGUAAUGAUCUUCCACUUGUACUUACCCUAUUUCUUUGUUUGUUUCAUAUAACCAGUUGUCUUUGCCCACAUAUUCCUUUAUUACAUCUCUUGAUUCCACCUACAUUCUUAACUGCUUUAUCUCAUCCUGGGUGGCAUAGUGCAAUGAUCGAGGAGAUGACUGCUUUGGAUGAUAAUGGUACUUGGGAUUUAGUUUCGCGUCCGGUGGGAAGGAAGGCUAUUGGGUGUAAAUGGAUGUGUGCUAUAAAGGUCAAUCCUGAUAGAACAGUGACCCGGUUGAAAGUUCGUCUUGUUCCCAAAGAUUAUGCCCAAAUCUAUAGGACUAAUUAUUCUGAUACAUUUUCUCCCAUUGCCAAAUUAAAUUCCAUUCGACUAUUUCUUUCCAUGGUUGCUACUCACAAUUGGUCUUUGCAUCAACUUGAAAUUAAAAAUGUUUUUUUGCAUGGUGAUCUUCAGGAGGAAGUUUAUAUGGAGCAACCAUCUAGAUUUUUUGCUUAGGGGGAGAAUGAUAAGGUGUAUCGCUUUUGAAAAUCUUUGUAUGAACAGAAACAAAGUCCUCUUGCAUGGUCUGAUGCCUCAGCCAUUGCUGUUGUUCGCAGAAGAUGUUGCUGUUGGCACUAAAAGUCGAUAUCAUGCUUUGGAGCUGGAGAUAUAGAUUGUUGAUUAGCUUUAGCCAAGUUUUAUUUUUUCUAGAUUUUUAAGUGUCCGGUUGUGCAGUUUACAUGAUGGUUUUUAGAUACAAUGAAUGUUUUUUAUUGAGGUUUCUUGGGCUUAUUUUUUCUGUUGACCUCUAUUGGUCUCUGGGCUCAGUUUUGAAUUUUUCUCAUAAGUUUUAGGUUAUAGGUUGAUUUGAAUACGUUCCUUCUUGGGGAGUUUGAGCAACUUUAUGUAUAAUUUUUAUUUGUUAAAGUGUUGAUAUAAUUAAAUUUACCAUAACCCAUCAGCUUAAGCUUUUGAGUCAAUUGGUGAUUUAACAUGGUAUCAGAGAGGGAGGUCCUAUGUUCAAAACCUGGGAGGUCCUAGGAUGUUCAUGAUUUAGGAAGUGCUUCAAAACGAGUGGCUUUGAAAAGGUUUUUCAGAUUGCAUCUUGACGUGGUUUUAUUGCAAGAGAUUAAAAUGGCUAAUUUCGGUAUUAGUCUAUUUAGAACUCUAAAGGCAUUAGUUGGGUACAAGUGGAAGUGUGGGGUAGAUCUGGUGGCAUGCUAAUUUUGUGGGAUGAAUCUAAAAUUCAGGUUGUGGAAGAAAUUUGGUUCAAGAGAAAUUUGAGAUCUUUUCAAGAAAAGUAAUUGAAUGGAUUGUUCACUUCGCAGUCACCUGAAUUAUUGUCUCCAUUUGGCGUUCUCUCUAAGUUCUUUGAUGACUUUUACAUCCAAGAUUUAUGCUUAAUUUGGAUUGACUGCCUUUCUCUUUACAGCAGUCUUUUGGCUCGAUGUAUUUGUACUCACUAUUUUUAGUUCUUUGUAUUUUGAGCAUUAGUCUCUUUUCAUUUAUUUUAAUGAAAAGUUUUGUAUCCUUUUCAAAAUA